rnacentral:rRNA from 1 species
GAUGAACGCUGGCGGCGUGCCUAACACAUGCAAGUCGAACGGUGAUAUAUAGAUGAUUUCGGUCUGAAAUAUAUCAUAGUGGCGGACGGGUGAGUAACGCGUGGAUAACCUGCCCCGUACUGGGGGAUAGCAGCUGGAAACGGCUGGUAAUACCGCAUAAGCGCACGAGGGGGCCUCCCCCUGUGUGAAAAGAUUCAUCGGUACGGGAUGGGUCCGCGUCUGAUUAGCCAGUUGGCGGGGUAACGGCCCACCAAAGCGACGAUCAGUAGCCGGCCUGAGAGGGUGAACGGCCACAUUGGGACUGAGACACGGCCCAG